GACGAACGCUGGCGGCGUGCUUAACACAUGCAAGCCGAACGGUAAGGCCCUUCGGGGUACACGAGUGGCGAACGGGUGAAUAACACGUGGGUGAUCUGCCCUGCACUUCGGGAUAAGCCUGGGAAACUGGGUCUAAUACCGGAUAGGACCACUGCCUAGAUGGGUGGUGGGGGAAAGCUUUUGCGGUGUGGGAUGGGCCCGCGGCCUAUCAGCUUGUUGGUGGGGUGAUGGCCUACCAAGGCGACGACGGGUAGCCGGCCUGAGAGGGUGACCGGCCACACUGGGACUGAGAUACGGCCCAGACUCCUACGGGAGGCAGCAGUGGGGAAUAUUGCACAAUGGGCGCAAGCCUGAUGCAGCGACGCCGCGUGAGGGAUGACGGCCUUCGGGUUGUAAACCUCUUUCAGCACCGACGAAGCGCAAGUGACGGUAGGUGCAGAAGAAGGACCGGCCAACUACGUGCCAGCCGCCGCCGUAA
rnacentral:rRNA from 1 species